GAUGAACGCUGGCGGCGUGCCUCAAACAUGCAAGUCGAGCGGGGCUAUGUAAUAUCGCAAGGUAGAACAUAGCCUAGCGGCGAACGGGUGAGUAACACGUGGGUAACCUGCCUGGAAGACAGGGAUAACGAUUCGAAAGGGUCGCUAAUACCUGAUAAUAUCCUUUCAUCGCAUGGUGAUAGGAAGAAAGGGGAAACCCGCUUUCAGAUGGGCCCGCGUCCCAUCAGCUAGUUGGUAAGGUAAAGGCUUACCAAGGCGACGACGGGCAGCCGGUCUGAGAGGAUGUACGGCCACACUGGGACUGAGAUACGGCCCAGACUCCUACGGGAGGCAGCAGUUGGGAAUCUUAGGCAAUGGACGAAAGUCUGACCUAGCGACGCCGCGUGAGGGAAGAAGGCCUUCGGGUUGUAAACCUCUGUCAUGGGGAAGAAGUAAGUGACGGUACCCAACGAGGAAGCCCUGCUAACUACGUGCCAGCAGCCGCGGUAAAAGUACUACUAU
rnacentral:rRNA from 1 species